rnacentral:rRNA from 1 species
UACAGAGGGUGCAAGCGUUGUUCGGAAUUAUUGGGCGUAAAGCGCACGUAGGCGGUUCGUUAUGUCAGAUGUGAAAGCCCUUGGCUCAACUGAGGAAGUGCAUCUGAAACUGGCGAGCUAGAGUAUGUAAGAGGGUCGCGGAAUUCCCGGUGUAGAGGUGAAAUUCGUAGAUAUCGGGAGGAACACCGGUGGCGAAGGCGGCAUCCUGGACCAAUAUUGACGCUGAGGAGCGAAAGCUAGGGGAGCAAACGGG